GCCUCCGUUGUCUAAUGGUUAUGACGUCAGACUUCUAGCUUGCGUAAUGUAAAUUACCUACGGAAUCUGGAGGUUGCGGGUUCGAAUCCCGCCGGAGGUU